CUCAGAUUGACAACAAAUGUCUUAACCCAGGAUGUUUUCCUAAAUUUGUGGGAUGCAUGUAUCAUGAUGAUUCAUCUAAUAAGAAAUCUGUCAUCUGACGAUUUUUCGACUCCCACGAAACGGAGAAAAAAGUAAUAAAGAUUAAGGAAAGAGAUAAUAAGAUCAGAAGAGAAAAGCAUAUAUUGCAAAUGAUGGUGAGGAGACUAAGGCUUCGCAUCACAAACGUAUCUUCUUUGUUGGAUUACUUAAAUGAAAAGGCCUACAUUCUGGAAAAUGCUGAAACUGCCAUUAGGGAUUCUGUAUCUGGUCUGUUCCCCCGAAUUGGCUUUAACAACUCUUCCAAGUCUUCCUGUUAACAUCCGAAACUCCUCUUCUUAAUAUAUCUUUAAACACAUGUUUAAAGAGCUUAGGUUAGAGAAGGCAUUCUAUUCAUUGCAUAAAUAUUUUACUUUUGUCAUGUUUUUUUAUUUAUUUACUCAUCCUAUGUUUCUGACUGUAUUACUAAUAGAUUUGUGAGUAUUUUGAAAAUAUGAAUUUUUUAUAGCAUAUAUUUAACAUUUAUUUCAU
rnacentral:lncRNA from 1 species